rnacentral:rRNA from 1 species
GAUGAACGCUGGCGGCGUGCCUAAUACAUGCAAGUCGAGCGAACAGACGAGGAGCUUGCUCCUCUGACGUUAGCGGCGGACGGGUGAGUAACACGUGGUUAACCUACCUAUAAGACUGGGAUAACUUCGGGAAACCGGAACUAAUACCGGAUAAUAUAUUGAACCGCAUGGUUCAAUAAUGAAAAACGGUUUUGCUGUCACUUAUAGAUGGAUCCGCGCCGCAUUAGCUAGUUGGUAAGGUAAUGGCUUACCAAGUCAACGAUGCGUAGCCGACCUGAGCGGGUGAUCAGCCACACUGGAACUGAGACACGGUCCAGACUCCUAAUGGAGGCAGCAGUAGGGAAUCUUCCGCAAAGGGCGAAAGCCUGACGGAGCAACGCCGCGUGAGUGAUGAAGGUCUUCGGAUCGUAAAACUCUGUUAUUAGGGAAGAACAAAUGUGUAAGUAACGAUGCACGUCUUGACGGUACCUAAUCAGAAAGCCACGGCUAACUACGUG